rnacentral:lncRNA from 1 species
AUGUAGGGUUCCGAAACCGCUGCGUGGCUAUGAGUUCCAUGAAAAUUCAAAAUUCAGUGGUUCAAACUUUUCCAAAUGAAAAGUUGACCAUUAGACAAAAUGUAGAACUUGAUGAGUGUAGCAAACUUUGUAUUCAUGACUUUUCCAUUUGGGACAAUCUAGGGUUCGGUCAAAGGGUGUGUUCAUCAAGAUAUAUAUUUUUAUAUGAUUUUUUAUUUGAUGAAAAUUAUACCCAAGUAGCAUUCCUAGUAAUAAAUAACAAAAAUAAAAAGUUUUACGUCAAUAUGAUGUGAAAAUAAAUUUCCAGUUCAUUGGAUAUAGUUUUUGUAAAUUUAUUGGAAUAAUAUAUUUUUGCAUUAACAAAAUACUAAACAUUUUUACAAAAUCAUUGUAAAUUAUAAAAAUACAAUAAGAUAUUUAAGUUUAAAAAUUUUCAUGUGUAC